AAGAAAGUAGUGCAGCAGAACUAUAUGUAUACUUUCAAACGUGGAUGACUUGAAGAAAAAGCUGAUGUUCAAAAAAACUUGAAAUGAUGAUAUUCAAUGUUAGCUUACAUCAAUGGAACAUAAUCUUAAACGUGUACGGAAAAAAAACAUCAGUAUUAUUACGCAUUAGGCCAAAGAAAAGUUUGUGUCCAUGUACCUAUGUACAAUAAAUUGAAUAUAAAUAGGGUGUAAUUUUGUAGCAGAGAUGCUGAAAAGUUCACAUAUAUAAGUCAACCGAAGGGAAAUGAAAGUAUUUAUUGUAUAUAUUUAGCAAUUUAUUGAAUAGCAUUUUAUGCCACCGCUGAUUUUUUUUACGUCGAUAACUCAAGAGGAAACAAUGAAUACAAUAUGUGGCCUUAAAAAGGCGUUCUGUACUGUACUAUUUUCGCAAAAAAUGGUUCGCAAACUAUCAUAGAAUCAAAGCGUUUGAAACAAAAAUAUUAUUAUAUAAAUAAUAAAAAACAAGAUUACAAUACAAGUCUUUCAAAAGUAUUCUGGAAUUAACUGAUGCAAUUUGAUAAAACUUGGUGUUGACUAAUAAGUAGGGCAGACCCGCCAUUGUUGGGACCAUCGACAGAAUAACGUUCGUGUUUUUGAGAUUUCUCCAUCCAAGACAUAGAUUUGCUGAUGAAUAACAUCGCAAAGAUCUUGGUGUAUUGUCUUCAUACUUGGCCACAACAACCCUUCAAAUAGACCAGACUAAACUAAAUUAACUUGACCACCAUAUUAACAUUCAAGAAGUUCGGCCUACAAUCAUGUCAGAUUUAUGAAUGUGAACAGCAGGAUAUCGAUUUUAAGGAUGCUUUAGGGUCAAUGACAAUGAAAUCACGAGAGAUAAAGGCUAAAAUGUGAGACUGUCAAUCUGACUAACCUUGAAGUGAACAAAUGGAAAAAGUGUUUCUUUCAAUAGCAUGGGCUUUUAAGGAAGAGGAAACAGAGGCGCUUAUAUGAUAGAACAGUAAAAGCAGGAGUGAUAAUGAAAGAUACAUGUAGAUGUGUCUUCAUGUCGGAAACACUAAAGAAAUAGAAAUAUUGUGGUUUUAUAAAACUUAAAAGAAAUUGGAAUACCUGAGAGACUGCCUGCCCUUUGCAAUGUUGGAUAAAGAGUUCUUAGAUGUGAUGUCGAAAGCCUCAUGAAGCCCAUGACUUAAUCUAAUUAGAAAAAAAUAUGACAUUGAAGAGAAAACUAGUCACCAGUCUUUCACCAAGAACUAUAGAUAACUUUCCAAUAUUUGAAAUAUCAUAAUAUGAGCCGCGUCAUGACAAAACCAACAUAGUAGGUUUGCGACCAGCAUGGAUCCGAACCAGCCUGCGCCUCCGCGUAGUCUGAUCAGGAUCCAUGCUGUUUGCCAUCAGUUUUUCUACUUGUAAUAGAGUUUGUAAGCGAACAGCAUGGAUCCUGAUCAGACUGCGUGGAUGCGCAGGCUGGUCUAGAUCAAUGCUGGUCGCAAACCCAUUAUGUUGGUUUUGUCAUGGCGCGGCUCAUAUGUAUAGAACUUUAUUGAGCCACCAGUUUUCCACCAGGAAAAUAAGAUCACUUAACUAUUUUUAGCUCACCUGUCACAAAGUGACAGGGUGAGCUUUUUUGAUCGCUUUUCGUCUGGCGUCCGUCCGUAAACUUUUACUUUAAAUGACAUCUCCUCAUAAACCACUAAGCCAAUUUCAUCCAAACUUCACAGGAAUGUUUCUUUGGUGGUCACCUCUAAAUAUUGUUCAUAGAACGCUGGUUGCCAUGGCAACCAAAAGAAAAAAACUUAAAGUAUCUUCUUUUAAAGAACCCAAAGAGCUAGAGCUUAGACAAAGUAUCUUCUUUUAAAGGUAUGAAAUAUCUUCUAGUGAGUGUCUACCAAGUUUGUUCAAAUAAAAGCCCUGGGGGUCAAAACUGGCCCCUCCCCAGGGGUCAUUGAAUUUCCCUAUAUGCAUAUAGUAAAAACUUAAAAAUCUUCUUUGAAAAAACCAAAAUAGCUAGAGUUUAGAUAUUAAGCAUGAAACAUCUUCUGGUAAGUGUGUACAAGGUUUGUUCAAAUAAAAGCCCUGGGGUCAAAACUGGCCCCGCCCCAGGGGUUUCAUUGUUUUUAACUAUUUGUGUAAAGUAAAAACUUAAAAAAUCUUCUUUUAAAAAACCCAAUGAACUAGAGCUUAGAUGUUUAGCAUGAAACAUCUUAUGGUGUCGACCAAGUUUGUUCAAAUUUAAGCCCUUGUAUAAAAAUUGGCCAUGCCGGGGUGGGGGGUGGUGCAGAGGUCUUUGUUUUACAUUAUAUGUGUGUAGUAAAAACUUAACAUCAUGAAACAUCUUCUAACGGGUGUCUUACAAGUUUGGUCAAAUAAAAGCCCUGGGGUUUAAACUGGCCCCGCUCCAGGGGCCUAUAUAUACAUGGCCCUCUUGUUGAAAUAUGUAUGAACAAAUCUUUAUCAACUUCAAGCUUUUAUUGAAGGAAUUUGAAAUAACUUGGCACAAAUGAUUGUUAUAAUAAGACAAUGAGUCAUGUCAACAACCAGACCCCUACCUCCAGGGUCAAGGUCGCACUUGCUCAUUCAAGGUCAACAUUGUCUUUUUGAAAGUAUAUCUCGUGUCCGGUCUAUAACUUUCCUAUCUCUAAAGGGAUUUUGUAAAUACUUGCCACAAUUGCUCACAAUAAUGAGAAGAUGUGUCAUGCUCAACAACAGGUCACCUGCCUCCAAGGUCAAGGUCACACUUGGAGGUCAAAUAUUAGCACAGCCUGUUACAGGGUAUAUUUCGUGUCCGGUCCAUAACUUUGUCAUUUAUUGAAGGAAUUUGAAAUAACUUGGCACAAAUGUUUGUUAUAAUAAGACGAUGAUGUGCAACAACCAGACCCCUACCUUCAGGGUCAAGGUCACACUUGCUCAUUCAAGGUCAACAUUGUCCAUUUGAGGGUAUAUCUCGUGUCCAGUCUAUACCUUUCUUAUCUUUGAAGGGAUUUUGUAAAUACUUGCCACAAUUGUUCACAACAAUGAGAUGAUGUGUCAUGCGCAACAAUCGGUCACCAACCUACAAGGUCAAGGUCACACUUGGAGGUCUAAGAUUAACAUAGCCUGUUAUAGGGUAUUUUUUUGUCCGGUCCAUAACUUUUUUGUAUAUCAAAGGAUUUUGAAAAAACUUGGCACAAAUAUUCACUAUAAUAAGACAAUGUGUCAUGCGCAUCACCUGCAUCCCUACCUCCAAGGUCAGGGUCACAUUUCGAGGUAAAAUAUUAACAUUGUUUUUUUAAAGGGUAUAUAUUGUGUCCAAUGUAGAACUUCUUCAUAGUUCAAGGGAUUUUGAAAUAACUUGGCACAAAUAGUCACAAUAAUAAGACGAUAUGUCAGUUACAACACCUGCACCCCUGCCUCCAAGGUCAAGGUCACACUUAGAGGUAUAAAGGUAACAAAGUCUGUUAUAUGGUAUAUUUUAUGCCCCGUCCAUAACUUCUUCAUAGAUGAAGGGAUUUGGAAAAUACUUGGCACAAGUAGUCACAAUGAUAAGAUGAUAUGUCAUGCACAACACCUGCACCCCUACCUCCAAGGUCAAGGUCACACUAAGAGGUCAAAGCAGGGAUUUUUUCCAGGAUUUGGGAACAUAACCCAUACCCAUGCAACUGGGAAUUUCAGCGAUAUUUUGUUAAAAUUGGGAAAAAAUGCAUAACUGAAAGUUUGCUGUGAUUAAAUGUAUGCAAGCAAUCACUGCCUAGGAUGGCUUCUUCAAACAUUUAAACACUAUUACAGUAAAGAAGCCCUUAUUUUCAAAGAUUUUAGAAUUCUUUAUUCAAUAUUUAUAUUUUUGUAACGUUCAAUUGGGAAUAUUUUCCUUUGGAUUGGGAAAUAAUAUACUAUUUUCAAUUGGGAAUAUGUCCCAAUAACGGCUAUAAAAUAAGCCAAAAAUAAUCCCUGCAAAGCUUAACAUGAUAUAUUUUGAAAUUCAGUAUUUCAUUUUAUUUCUUUAAUAAAUUUAUUGUUGCAUUUGCAGAUCUAGCAUUGAUCAUAAUUUUGGACUGAAAAUCCUUAGAUCCCUGCCUCAAUCUUUUGAAAUAGCACAAUUUUUUGCUUCAUAUAAAACUUCCCUGAGGCGGGGGACCUUGGUAUCUCUGUUACAAAUUCUUGUUUAUUUUACCAACAAGUGUUCACUUUCAAACUUUUGAUCAUUGUAUUUUUUGUACUACCUUUUGUAUAAUGUUGUAUUUUAUUUGUGUUCUUAUUUUAAGAUUAGCAUGGCCAACUCAUGAAAGUCCAAAUGAUGGUCAACUUUUUUUAUGUUUUUUUUUGUUGUUGUUUUUUUUCUAACAUUAUUUACUUUAUUUUUACAGUGUUCCUCUGAAUCAUACAUUCUGUUUUAGUUAAACAUGCACUUCUUGUUACUUAUUUUCCCAUACUUCAUAUUACAUUGAUCACGUUUUGAUGUGAUGGCUCAUAAAAUUAUAAAAAUAUCAUUUUUAGCUCGACUUUUCUAUGAAAAGGGGAGCUAUCCUACUCGCCCCGGCGUCGGCGUCGGCGUUGGCGUCACACCUUGGUUAAGUUUUUCGUACCACCCCACUUUAUUUCAGAAGUAUUACAAGUAUGGCUUUGAAACUUACCAUACUUGUUCACCAUCAUAACCUCCAUCUACAGACAAGAGUACAUAACUCUGUCAAGGUUUUUGACAGAAUUAUGGCCCUUUUUUGACUUAGAAAGUGUAUUGAGCUUGGUUAAGUUUUUUGUACCACCUCACUUUAUUUCAAAACCAUUGGAGGUAUUGCUUUGAAACUGACCAUACUUGUUUACCAUCACGACCUUCAUCAACAGACAAGAGGACAUAACUCUGUCAAGGUUUUUGACAGAAUUAUGCCCCUUUUUGACUUAGAAAAUACAUUGAAUAUGGGUAAAAUCCACUUAUUGCCUUAACCCUUUGAGAUAUUGCUUUGAAACUUUUAAUGCUAUUUCACAUCAUUACCCCCAUCUGUACGCAAGAGAAGGUAACUCUGUCAAGGAUUUGUUUUAAAAAUUAAGGCCUUUUAUCGACUUAGAAUCUUGGUUAAGUUUUUUAGUACCAGUCCACUUUUUGACUGAACUGUUUGAGAUAUUAAUUUGAAAGUUGGAAUACUUGUUUACAAUCAUGAUUCCCAAACAUGUCCAGGAGAAGGUAAUUCUGUCAAAGAUUUUAUUUGAAUUAUGGCCCUUAACUGUCAAUGUUUUGUAUUAUAGGCAAGCACUAAAAAACUUAAAAAAUCUAAAAAAAUUCAUUCCUAUCCACUUGUUCACUUUACCAUAAAUUAUGUCAUAAUAAAAUAAUUCUUCACUAAAUAUCUUAAUGCUCAUGGCCAUUGUUCACUUUAAAAAUACAGAGAUUCUUGUAUUGCCUUUUACUGCAAAAACUUUUUUUAUUGGCAAGCAAUAAAAAAGUCAAGCGCGCUGUCUUACGGACAGCUCUUGUUUUG